UACGUAGGGGUCGAGCGUUGUCCGGACUUACUGGGCGUAAAGCGUGGGUAGGUGGCCACUGAUGUGCCGUGUGAAAGCGCCGCGCUUCUCGCGGCGAGGUCGCGGUAGACACAGUGGCUCGAGGCACGGAGAGGGGCGUAGAAUUCCCGGUGUAGUGGUGAAAUGCGUAGAUAUCAGGAGGAACAUCAGUGGCGAAAGCGGCUUCCUGGACCAGAACUGACGAUCAGGCUCGAAAGCGUGGGGAGCAAACAGG
rnacentral:rRNA from 1 species